rnacentral:lncRNA from 1 species
AUGUAUAUACAGAGAGUGGCUUUAACAUCAUAUUUAUUUGCCUGUGUCUCCACAGAAAGCCGUGAGACUUACCAGAGAAGGGUGCUGUCCAUCUUCAGCAUUGCCUCAGGGAUCUGUUUUCUCGGAGUGGCAUGCAUGGCUCUCUAUCGCCGCAACAAGAGACACAGGGAAAAGCUCCGGGCACACUUCUUGGAGAGCCGGAAUCUGAGGGUGUGCAGUAUCAAUGCCUCUGGGUUCAUGUCUAAAUCCAGCCCAAGGCCUCAGUGUGGCUGGCAGCUUCAAAAGUGCUACAAAUCUCAUGGGUUCUCCCCUCCUCAAGGGUGCAGCAGUCUGUCAGCUGGCGCACCAACAGCAGCUCCACCGACUCUCAACAGAGCACUCCCCAAAGGGAAAAGCUUCAGGAGUAGCUCCCUGUCACUCAGUCCACCCCAAAGACACCAGGACACUCAUCACUUCAGGACCCUGCCAAUCUCUCGAGGACCAAGGGUUGCUGGCCCCGCCUAUAAGCACCUGCAAGAGGUAGAGUCUACAGAGAUGGAGGCGGAGUCUUUAAGAGGGUAAGCACCUGGAUGUUCUGCUUUGCUUUGAAACUGAAUGAGGACAGUGUUAAUAGCAAGG